AAAUUGGGUCGUGUAUAUUAUUAACCUAAACCCGAAAUGUAUUGUCUUUAGAAACUCCGGCGAAUCACGAUGAAGAUAGUCUCCGCUGAAGUCUCCGUUUUUUUUUCCUGUUGAAGUCUCUGUUACAUACAUCGAUCGUUUCUGCCAAUUCGUGUUGGAAUCGACGCCGUCGUCUAAUCCAAUGGUGUUCUUCUCACCGCUGAACGUUACGGAAGUGGACUACAAUCAAUCGUCGUCAUUAACAAAACUUCCCCACUCCUCACACGAUUUCUUAUUCAAUGCAUUACCUCUUUUGUAUGAAUCUCCAACUAUAAAUACCUGAGUUUCACUCCAUGAAAUUCAUCUGUUUUUCUUUUCAAUCAUUAUCAUUCCUAAAACAUUUUAAGAGAAAAGAAUCCACAAGCAGAGUUCCUUGCUAGAUCGAGUAUGAAUGUGAGCUUUUCAAGUAGAACGUCCGGCCUCUUAAGAGAUGACACAAUCAAGCUCUCAAAUCUCACACCGACCACCAAUUAAGGAAGAAUCUCCUCAAGAAAUGGAGGAAGUUGAGUGAGGAUAUCGAUGAGUACAGACAGUCAUGAUGACCCUAUCUUUUCCUUUAUCCACAAAUGUCACCCACAAAACAAGCUAAACUGCUAAAGUGAUCAAGGAUUACUAGAAGUAGUAUGCACAGCUGGACAUGAAAGGAAAUAAAAUCCCUAUCUAUUCAUUUCUAACAGCAUAAUGCAAUCAUGGUGUAAUCGCGAAUAAUGGUUGUGUGAUAUUUGUUUUGUGUCUUUAUAGAUACAGAUGAUGACAGCGGCAAUUGAUGGAACACUUGACAAGGAAGAAGUUGAAGAAGAAUCUGAAGAUCUAACUAACCAGGUUAUGUAGUUACUGCAGUUUCAGUCACAAGGUGGUCGAUGAGAUUAAUGUUGGUGUUUCAUCCCAUGUUGGCUUUUCUUAAAUAGUUAUUUUUUUGUUAAGUUAAAUUUGUCAAGAAAAACAUUACAGGUGGUUUAAAAGUAAAAAGUUUGUUUCUUGCUUCGUUCUAAA